UUACAGACAAUUUAAAAUUACAACAAAAAAAUAGCCAAGGUUUGGAAUUCAAUCAUUUUUUUAAAAUAAAAAGUAAAAUAAACCCAAUAAUUUUAACUCCUCUACCUACACAACACCAACAAAUAAAGAAAGUAGAAUAGUUCACCACCACACCUCAAUCAUAUCACAAUAGAAAUCUUGGAAAAUUAAUAACCACAUCAAAACACUAACUACACAAAUACAGCAUCACAAACACACACAGAGAUAGAGCAACAAUUACAUCCACGACCGAGCAACGACUACGUCCACCACUCCGCGCUUUUGCGGAGCUCCACCCCUAGUCUCUCAAAGGAAAUAGUACUAAUAACUAGCCAGAGUUCUAAUUUUUUAAUAAAGUCUAAAACAUAGCUCUAUUUUCAUCUUGCGAAACAAUAAACCUUACUUUUUGACCUGAUUCAAAUUCAACCGAUAGAUUUACCCCUUACUC
rnacentral:lncRNA from 1 species